rnacentral:rRNA from 1 species
UACAGAGGGGGCGAGCGUUGUUCGGAAUUACUGGGCGUAAAGGGCGCGUAGGCGGCCCGCUAAGUCGAACGUGAAAUCCCCAGGCUUAACCUGGGAACUGCGUCCGAUACUGGCAGGCUUGAAUCCGGGAGAGGGAUGUGGAAUUCCAGGUGUAGCGGUGAAAUGCGUAGAUAUCUGGAGGAACACCGGUGGCGAAGGCGGCAUCCUGGACCGGCAUUGACGCUGAGGCGCGAAAGCUAGGGGAGCAAACGGG